UACGAGGGGAGCAAGCGUUGUUCGGAUUUACUGGGCGUAAAGGGCGCGUAGGCGGCCACGACAAGUCACUUGUGAAAUCUCCGGGCUUAACUCGGAACGGUCAAGUGAUACUGUCGGGCUAGAGUGCAGAAGGGGCAACUGGAAUUCUCGGUGUAGCGGUGAAAUGCGUAGAUAUCAUUUGGAACGCCAAUGGUGAAAACAGGUAGCUGGGAGUGUGCUGACGCUGAGACACGAAAGCCAGGGGAGCGAACGGG
rnacentral:rRNA from 1 species